UACGUAGGGUGCAAGCGUUAAUCGGAAUUACUGGGCGUAAAGCGUGCGCAGGCGGUGAUGUAAGACAGAUGUGAAAUCCCCGGGCUCAACCUGGGAACUGCAUUUGUGACUGCAUCGCUGGAGUACGGCAGAGGGGGGAUGGAAUUCCGCGUGUAGCAGUGAAAUGCGUAGAUAUGCGGAGGAACACCGAUGGCGAAGGCAAUCCCCCUGGGCCUGUACUGACGCUCAUGCACGAAAGCG
rnacentral:rRNA from 1 species